GACUUCCUGGAGCUUACCACAGGCUGUGUUCUUACACUGACUGUAUAGCAAGAGGAGGCAGGCUCAGCACCCAUAG
ensembl:snoRNA